rnacentral:rRNA from 1 species
GACGAACGCUGGCGGCGUGCUUAACACAUGCAAGUCGAACGGAAAGGCCCUGCUUUUGUGGGGUGCUCGAGUGGCGAACGGGUGAGUAACACGUGAGUAACCUGCCCUUGACUUUGGGAUAACUUCAGGAAACUGGGGCUAAUACCGGAUAGGAGCUCCUGCUGCAUGGUGGGGGUUGGAAAGUUUCGGCGGUUGGGGAUGGACUCGCGGCUUAUCAGCUUGUUGGUGGGGGAGUGGCUUACCAAGGAUUUGACGGGUCGCCGGCCUGGGAGGGUGACCGGCCACAUUGGGACUGAGAUACGGCCCAGAGUCCUACGGGAGGCAGCAGUGGGGAAUAUUGCACAAUGGGCGGAAGCCUGAUGCAGCAACGCCGCGUGCGGGAUGACGGCCUGCGGGUUGUAAACCGCUUUCGCCUGUGACGAAGCGUGAGUGACGGUAAUGGGUAAAGAAGCACCGGCUAACUACGUG